rnacentral:rRNA from 1 species
GAGGAAUAUUGGUCAAUGGGCGCGAGCCUGAACCAGCCAAGUAGCGUGAAGGAUGACUGCCCUAUGGGUUGUAAACUUCUUUUAUAAGGGAAUAAAGUGAGGCACGUGUGCCUUAUUGUAUGUACCUUAGGAAUAAGCAUCGGCUAACUCCGUGCCAGCAGCCGCGGUAAUACGGAGGAUGCAAGCGUUAUCCGGAUUUAUUGGGUUUAAAGGGAGCGUAGGCGGACUAUUAAGUCAGCUGUGAAAGUUUACGGCUCAACCGUGAAAUUGCAGUUGAAACUGGUCGUCUUGAGUAUUGGAGAGGCAAGUGGAAUUCCUAGUGUAGCGGUGAAAUGCGUAGAUAUUAGGAGGAACACCGGUGGCGAAGGCGGCUUGCUGGACAAAUACUGACGCUGAGGUGCGAAAGCGUGGGGAGCAAACA